CCUACGGGAGGCAGCAGUGGGGAAUUUUGGGCAAUGGGGGCAACCCUGAAGCAGCAAAGCAGCGUGAUGGAUGAAGGCCUUCGGGGUGUUAAGCUCUGUCUGUGAGGGCGUAAACUGACGGUACCCACCGAGGUAGCACCGGCUAACUCCGUGCCAGCCGCCGAGGUACUACGGGGGGUGCAAGCGUUGUCCGGAUUCAUUCGGCUUAAAGGGUUCGUUGAUGGGACGGUAAGUCAGUUGUGAAAGGCGGAAGCUCAACUUACGUAGGGCACUUGAUACUGGCGAGCUUGAAUGCAGUUGAGGUAAAGGGAAUUCGUGGUGUAGCGGUGAAAUGCGUAGAUAUCACGAAGAACAUCGGUGGCGAAGGCGCUUUACUAAGCCGUAAUUGACACUGAGGAACGAAAGUCGGGGUAUCAAAUGGGAUUAGAUACCCUUGUAGUC
rnacentral:rRNA from 1 species